rnacentral:rRNA from 1 species
GACAGAGGGUGCAAACGUUGUUCGGAGUUACUGGGCGUAAAGCGCGUGUAGGCGGCUCUGCAAGUCGGGUGUGAAAUCCCACGGCUCAACCAUGGAAGUGCACUCGAAACUGCAGGGCUAGAGUCCUGGAGAGGAAGGUGGAAUGCUUGGUGUAGAGGUGAAAUUCGUAGAUAUCAAGCGGAACACCGGUGGCGAAGGCGGCUCACUGGCCCGGUACUGACGCUGAGGUGCGAAAGCUAGGGGAGCAAACGGG